rnacentral:rRNA from 1 species
AACCUGGUUGAUCCUGCCAGUGAUCAUAUUCUUCGAUCAAAGAUUAAGCCAUGCAUGUGUAAGAAUAAACAGAAUUAUUUAGUGAAUCUGCGUAUGGCUCAUUACAAGAUUUAUAGCUUCCCUGAGAGCUUAUUUUAAGUAACAUUAAAACAAUUGGAUAACCGUUGUAAUUCAAGGGCUAAUCAUGCAUCAACUACUUUUCAUACGAAGAGUAGGCGUUUGUUAGUUCUAAAAACCAAUAUAAAGUGGUGAAUCAUGACAAAUUGCGGAUCCUUAUGUUGUAAAAAACGAAGGACGACUCAGUUAGGUCUAUCCCCUAUCAGGUUUCGAAGCGAGUGUAUUGUACUCGCUUGCCAUUGACGGGUAACGGAGAAUGUGGGUUCGAUUCCGGAGAAGGAGCCUGAGAGACGGCUACUACAUCUAAGGAAGGCAGCAGGCGCGCAAAUUUCCCAAUGUUCAUUGAACGAGGAAGUGACGAUCAAUAACAAUGUGUUUUUCAUUUAACGAAAAGUACAAUUGGAAUGACAGCAAUUUAAAGAUUUCAAGAAGGAUCAAUUGGAGGGCAAGUCUGGUGCCAGCAGCCGCGGUAAUUCCAGCUCCAAUAGGAUAUAUCAAAGUUGUUGCAGUUGAAAAGCUCGUAGUUGAAUUUUUGAAUGGUGUUUUAUUGUUUGUUAUGGAGUAGAAAUACUUUCAUAUUUAAGCAAUCACCAUUCUUUUUGUGGAUAUCAAUAUAUAAUUAAAAUUGUUUCAUUAUAAUUUUAAUUAUACCACUCAGUUACUGAGAGCAAAUUGGAGUGCUCAAAGCAGGCUUUAUAGCUUUGAACAUUUAAGCUCGGAAUAACAAAAUGAAGAUUUCUUUUAUUUUGUUGGUUUUGUAAAAGAAGUAAUGUUUAAUAGGAACAGUUUUUUUCAAUUUUAAAGCGGGGGUACUCGUAUUAGAAAGUCAGAGGUGAAAUUCUUGGAUUUUUCUAAGACGAACAACUGCGAAAGCAUUUACCAAGGAUGUUUUCAUUAAUCAAGAACGAAAGUACAGGGAUCGAAGAUGAUUAGAUACCAUCGUAGUCUGUACCAUAAACGAUGCCGACUCAGGAUUAGCUUGAAUUUAAUUAAAGUUCUAACACAACUUACAAGCUAGCACUGUAUGAGAAAUCAAAGUCUUUGGGUUCCGGGGGGAGUAUGUCGCAAGGCUGGAACUUAAAGGAAUUGACGGAAGCGCACACCAGAAGUGGAGCUGCGGUUUAAUUUGACUCAACACGGGGAAACUCACCAGGUCCAGACAUGAUGAGGAUUGACAGUUUGAAAGCACUUUCUUGAUUUCAUGGGUGGUGGUGCAUGGCCGUUCUUAGUUGGUGGAGUGAUUUGUCUGGUUGAUUCCGAUAACGAACGAGACGGGAAUAUUUUACUUGGUUUUUGAAUUAAUUCACGUUAAUUUUAACUUAUUCAAUAGACAACUUCUUUUAAAGAAGAGGAAGCGUCCCGCAAUAACAGGUCUGUGAUGCCCUUAGAUGUUCUGGGCUACACGCGCGCUACAAUGAUAGGUUCAACGAGUGUUAUUUUACUUCUUUAAAGAGUAGAAAUCCUAGCUCGGAAGAGUUUUUGGGUAAUCUUGUAAAUACUUAUCGUGAUGGGGCUAGAUUAUUGCAAUUAUUAAUCUUCAACGAGGAAUUUCUAGUAUGUGCAAGUCAUCAGCUUGCGCAGAAUGCGUCCCUGCGCUUUGUACACACCGCCCGUCGCACCUACCGAUUGGACGAUAUGGCGAGAUGUUUGGAGAUGUUUUUUGGAUAGCAAUAUUUAAAAAACGUCGAAGCUCCUUAAACCUUAUCGUCUAGAGGAAGGUGAAGUCGUAACAAGGUUUCUGUAGGUACCUGCAGAAGGAUCC